AUUUAAAUAGUUUAAUUAAAAUAUUGAUUUGUGGAGUCAAAGUUAACUUUGGUUUUUAAAUU
rnacentral:tRNA from 1 species